CCUACGGGAGGCAGCAGUCGAGAAUCAUUCACAAUGGGGGAAACCCUGAUGGUGCGACGCCGCGUGGGGGAAUGAAGGUCUUCGGAUUGUAAACCCCUGUCAUGUGGGAGCAAAUUAUAAAGAUAGUACUACAAGUGGAAGAGACGGGUAAAUCUGUGACAGCAGCCGCGGUAAUAAAGAGGUCUCAAGCGUUGUUCGGAAUCACUGGGCGUAAAGCGUGCGUAGGCUGUUUCGUAAGUCGUGGGAGAAAGGGGCGGGCUCAACCCGCGGACGGCACAUAAUACUGCGAAACUAGAGUAAUGGAGAGAGAACCGGAAUUCUCGGUGUAGCAGUGGAAUGCGUAGAUAUCGGGAGGAACACUCGUGGCGAAGGCGAGUUCCUGGACAUUAACUGACGCUGAGGCUCGAAAGCGUGGGGAGCAAACAGGAUUAGAUACCCUAGUAGUC
rnacentral:rRNA from 1 species